AAAAUACCAGAACUCAGAGCACAUUGAGCCCCAGAGAAGAGCGGAAAAUCCAGAGUGCUUCACAAGCACUGAAACCAGAAAUAACCAAAGUGUCCACGGAUGGGCGGCUGGAUACAAAGCCGGUGUGUAGUCAUAAAUGGGAUGCAGCGAACGACGAAUGUGAACAAACCUUUGCUGUAUGAACAGGAUGACUGACGCUCACAGCUCAACAUAGAGUGAAGGAAGCCAGACCUGGGGAAGCCCCCGCUGUAUGUUCCGUCUGACGGAAGUCAAAAGCGGGAGAAAACUGGUCUGCAGUGCAGGAAGUUAAAACAGUGGAUGCCUCUGAGGUUGGGGUACGGGGGCUUUGGGGGGCAAACGGAAAUCUGACCUCCACGAGGGUGGAUAAAGCUCUGCCAAGCUCGCCAACUGAAGCCAAGAAAAAAUGCUAAGGAAGGAAGCACCUUGAAACACAGCGGCUGGAGAGGCAGCGGGAUCCUCCUGGGCCAGUGCUCCAUGGGGUGCUGGAGCUGGAUGACU
rnacentral:lncRNA from 1 species